rnacentral:rRNA from 1 species
GUAAGCUACUAAGAGCGAAUGGUGGAUGCCUUGACUGGUAAAGGCGAUGAAGGACGUACUAGACUGCGAUAAGCUACGGGGAGCUGUCAAGAAGCUUUGAUCCGUAGAUUUCCGAAUGGGGCAACCCAAUGUAUAGAGAUAUACAUUACCUAUAUAGGAGCGAACGAGGGGAAUUGAAACAUCUUAGUACCCUCAGGAAAAGAAAUCAAUAGAGAUUGCGUCAGUAGCGGCGAGCGAAAGCGUAAGAGGGCAAACCCAGUGCUUGCACUGGGGGUUGUAGGACUGCAAUGUGCAAGAGGUGAGUUUAGCAGAACAUUCUGGAAAGUAUAGCCAUAGAGGGUGAUAGUCCCGUAUGCGAAAAACAAACCUUAGCUAGCAGUAUCCUGAGUAGGGCGGGACACGAGAAAUCCUGUCUGAAGCUGGGUCGACCACGAUCCAACCCUAAAUACUAAUACCAGAUCGAUAGUGCACAAGUACCGUGAGGGAAAGGUGAAAAGAACUGAGGUGAUCAGAGUGAAAUAGAACCUGAAACCAUUUGCUUACAAUCAUUCAGAGCACUAUGUAGCAAUACAGUGUGAUGGACUGCCUUUUGCAUAAUGAGCCUGCGAGUUGUGGUGUCUGGCAAGGUUAAGCAAACGCGAAGCCGUAGCGAAAGCGAGUCUGAAUAGGGCGCUUAGUCAGAUGCUGCAGACCCGAAACGAAGUGAUCUAUCCAUGAGCAAGUUGAAGCUAGUGUAAGAACUAGUGGAGGACUGAACCCAUAGGCGUUGAAAAGCCCCGGGAUGACUUGUGGAUAGGGGUGAAAGGCCAAUCAAACUUCGUGAUAGCUGGUUCUCUCCGAAAUAUAUUUAGGUAUAGCGUUGUGUCGUAAUAUAAGGGGGUAGAGCACUGAAUGGGCUAGGGCAUACACCAAUGUACCAAACCCUAUCAAACUCCGAAUACCUUAUAUGUAAUCACAGCAGUCAGGCGGCGAGUGAUAAAAUCCGUCGUCAAGAGGGAAACAACCCAGACUACCAGCUAAGGUCCCUAAAUCUUACUUAAGUGGAAAACGAUGUGAAGUUACUUAAACAACCAGGAGGUUGGCUUAGAAGCAGCCAUCCUUUAAAGAAAGCGUAAUAGCUCACUGGUCUAGUGAUUUUGCGCGGAAAAUAUAACGGGGCUAAAGUAAGUACCGAAGCUGUAGACUUGAUUUUAUCAAGUGGUAGGAGAGCGUUCUAUUUGCGCCGAAGGUAUACCGGUAAGGAGUGCUGGAGCGAAUAGAAGUGAGCAUGCAGGCAUGAGUAGCGAUAAUUAAUGUGAGAAUCAUUAACGCCGUAAACCCAAGGUUUCCUACGCGAUGCUCGUCAUCGUAGGGUUAGUCGGGUCCUAAGUCGAGUCCGAAAGGGGUAGACGAUGGCAAAUUGGUUAAUAUUCCAAUACCAACAUUAGUGUGCGAUGGAAGGACGCUUAGGGCUAAGGGGGCUAGCGGAUGGAAGUGCUAGUCUAAGGUCGUAGGAGGUUAUACAGGCAAAUCCGUAUAACAUACUCCGAGAACUGAAAGGCUUUUUGAAGUCUUCGGAUGGAUAGAAGAACCCCUGAUGCCGUCGAGCCAAGAAAAGUUUCUAAGUUUAGCUAAUGUUGCCCGUACCGUAAACCGACACAGGUGGGUGGGAUGAGUAUUCUAAGGCGCGUGGAAGAACUCUCUUUAAGGAACUCUGCAAAAUAGCACCGUAUCUUCGGUAUAAGGUGUGGUUCGCUUCGUAUUAGGAUUUACUCCGAAAGCGAAGAAACUUACAACAAAGAGUCCCUCCCGACUGUUUACCAAAAACACAGCACUCUGCUAACUCGUAAGAGGAUGUAUAGGGUGUGACGCCUGCCCGGUGCUCGAAGGUUAAUUGAUGGGGUUAGCAUUAGCGAAGCUCUUGAUCGAAGCCCGAGUAAACGGCGGCCGUAACUAUAACGGUCCUAAGGUAGCGAAAUUCCUUGUCGGUUAAAUACCGACCUGCAUGAAUGGCGUAACGAGAUGGGAGCUGUCUCAAAGAGGGAUCCAGUGAAAUUGUAGUGGAGGUGAAAAUUCCUCCUACCCGCGGCAAGACGGAAAGACCCCGUGGACCUUUACUACAGCUUGACACUGCUAUUUGGAUAAGAAUGUGCAGGAUAGGUGGGAGGCUUUGAAGCUAGGACGCCAGUUCUAGCAGAGCCAUUGUUGAGAUACCACUCUUUCUUAUUUGGGUAGCUAACCAGCUUGAGUUAUCCUCAAGUGGGACAAUGUCUGGUGGGUAGUUUGACUGGGGCGGUCGCCUCCCAAAUAAUAACGGAGGCUUACAAAGGUUGGCUCAGAACGGUUGGAAAUCGUUCGUAGAGUAUAAAGGUAUAAGCCAGCUUAACUGCAAGACAUACAAGUCAAGCAGAGACGAAAGUCGGUCUUAGUGAUCCGGUGGUUCUGUGUGGAAGGGCCAUCGCUCAAAGGAUAAAAGGUACCCCGGGGAUAACAGGCUGAUCUCCCCCAAGAGCUCACAUCGACGGGGAGGUUUGGCACCUCGAUGUCGGCUCAUCGCAUCCUGGGGCUGGAGCAGGUCCCAAGGGUAUGGCUGUUCGCCAUUUAAAGCGGUACGCGAGCUGGGUUCAGAACGUCGUGAGACAGUUCGGUCCCUAUCUGCCGUGGGCGUAAGAAGAUUGAAGAGAUUUGACCCUAGUACGAGAGGACCGGGUUGAACAAACCACUGGUGUAGCUGUUGUUCUGCCAAGAGCAUCGCAGCGUAGCUAAGUUUGGAAAGGAUAAACGCUGAAAGCAUCUAAGCGUGAAGCCAACUCUAAGAUGAAUCUUCUCUAAGCUCUCUAGAAGACUACUAGUUUGAUAGGCUGGGUGUGUAAUGGAUGAAAGUCCUUUAGCUGACCAGUACUAAUAGAGCGUUUGGCUUAUCUUUAAUAAAGCAU